rnacentral:lncRNA from 1 species
CCUUCUUCUACCUCCACUUUCACUUCCUCUUUCUUUAUUCCUGGAAGAUCAGAUUUGAAAACGUGAGCCUCCGGAGUUUCCUUCCAGUCUAUGCGUGUGUUGGCAAAUGCUGAAGUUUCAUUUGCGGACUCAGAGCGAGGAGCUGAAACUGAGAGAGAUGUGCUUGGGAAUGGAAAGUCAUGGAAGGGAUCCCAGAAGUCGAGAGAGAAAGGAUCGAAGACGUUGGUUCUCCGGCCACCGAAGAAGCUGCUCGGAAUGAGAGACAUUUUUCUUGCUUGGUUUUUGAAAUGGGAAUUGAGAGAAAAGAACAAGAUUGCUCAGUGAAGGCUUGUUUGUAUUUGUGUAUUUCUAUGCUUAGAUCUGUGGUUUGAAGAGAGGAAAGAAGGAGGUAUAUAUAGUGUGCGGUUUCUUAACUGUUAUAUGAUGAAACUUCUAGAAGUGUAUGGUUAGUUCUGGAUGGUUCACGAAGAAGGAAACAGGAGAUCUUUCUAGAACGUGGAGGAAAUUGGAGUAAAGGAUCGUGUCUGACGUGUGUGAGUAAUUAUACAGUACAACAACUAUGGUAUUAUUUAGACCAUUUUAUAUAGUAUAAUAAAUUAAUAAAAAAUUAAUAAAUAGAUAUAUAUAUUAAAAAAUAUAGUAAUUAAUUUUUUUAAAGGUUAUUUUAUAUAUAUAUAUAUAUAUAUAUAUAUAUAUAUAUAUAUAUAUCUUUAUUCUGUUAAUUUAUUAUAUCAUGUAAGUAUACUAUAUAAUUUACCUAGUACAACCUUUUGUAUUUUAUAAUUUUUCCUCAUGUGGCUGCAUGCAAAAUAUAAGCACAUGCCUCAUUGGCUCCACUGGUGGGAAAAGUUUUUAAAAUUUAAGAAUAAAUAAUUAUAUUUUAUAAAAUUUAGAUAUUUGUUGAUAUGUUAAAAAAAUUAAUAAAAUAUAUCACUAUAAUAAAAUAAAAUUAUAAUUAUGAUUUUUUUGUUCAUAAAUGAUAAGUAAUUUUAUUAUCAGUAAUAAAUAUAAGGUGGAUAAUUUACUUUAGUUAUUAUUUUUUUUCAAUAAUUUAAUCUAUAAAUUUUAUGGUUUUCUUUUUUUUAUACCGCAUAUUAAAAAAUUUAUUUUAUUAUUUUAGGUAAUUAUUAACUUAUUUAUUGAUAUUGCAUAAUAAUAAUAAUAAUUCAAAGAAAUCAAUGUGCUGGUAGUCGAAGAUAUAACAUCAUGGCAAAAAUCUGAUUAGGUAAUACUCGAUCCCACAAAAAAAAAGGAAGAUUUGGACACUUCAGGUCGGUUUCAGUUCGACUCUUUGUCAAGAUUUGCUGGAGAGGUCGGAUCUUCACAGAAAAUUACCAUUAGCAGCUAGAAUUUAACAGACUCCCUUUACGUCCGUAAUCACAGAAUCCCCGAUCAAUGAACCAACGAGAUCUCUUAUCAACAAGCCGGCCACAUGCUCCAAAUCAUGAAAGCAACUAUCACAUUUGAAUUUAAAGAAUUAAAGACCAGCGGGACUUCUGAUUCUAUAUGAGACUUGCUCAAAGUAAAUAAUAAGCCAUCACCAUAAGACGAGACUAUGUAGUAAGAAUCUAAUAAACCUAUAUGUGGUCUAAUCCAUAAAAAAGAAGACUUGGGUGCUUCAAGUCGCCCUCAGAUCGGACAAACUCACCCUUUUAACUUUAUGACAAAGCUCCAUAAGAAAAUUACCGUUAACAACUAUAAUCCAGCAGAUCUCCUUUAUGCCUAUGAUCACAGAAUUCUCGACCAAUUAGCCGAUAAAGAUCCCUUACCAAUGAGUCGGCCACAUCAUUGCCGAAUUAUUAAAAAAUGUUAUAUUUAUCUCUAUAUUCUUAUUAUAUAAAACGAGAACGAUCACAGAGAUAAAAAUAUACUAUUCUAUAAUACUAAAUCUCUAUGCAAUCCAUUGCAUUCUUCGAGAUAUUGAUUUGAACAUCGAAGUAGCUUCUAUGGGUAUCCAACGCUACCUCACAUUUUCUUUCUCACAGCAUCGCUCCACCCUAGCCACGUCGUCCAUCUAAUCUCAGUAAUAUCAUAUAUUAAUUUUAUAAUUUGUGAAAAAUUUAAAAGUAGCUAAGUUUCUAAAAAAAGUUAAAAUAAUGAAUAAAAUAUAUUUUAUUUUAAAAAAAAUUAAAUUAGUCACAUUUCAAAAAAUAAUUAAAAUAAUAUAUAGAAAUUAUUUUAAUUUCUUAUUUUAACUUUUUUAAUUUCUAAAAAUUUUAAAUCAAAGUUAUAGUUUUUAUUUUGAAAUUAAGUUUUUUUUAAAAGCUUAUCCUAUUUAAAAGUGUAUAAUUUAUAAAAAUAAUUAGAUAUUUUUUUGCUUACUAUUUGAAAUAUAAUAUAUAAAUUUAAUUAUUUUAUUUUUAUUUAAUUUUAUAUGAUACUUUCUAAUUUAUAUUUUUCAAUUACACUUUUAUUAUGUUAGCAAAUUUGUAGUUGAUAACUGAAUUUGUAAUACCCGGCUAGACUCCGGUAUCGGAAUUCCUACCGUCCGGUGGAAUCUUGAAUGUCGGAAUCCUCUAGAAGGGUAAAAUAUGUUUUUCCAAAAUGUUUUCAAGUGUUUUAAGGUUUUAAGUAAGAAAGAAAUUGAGUUUUUGAAAGAAAAAUACUAUGGAGGAAAUUCCAGGUUCGGUCGCCGAACUUGGUGGGGUUUUGGAAUCACCUUUGGCUUCCGAAGGUGGUCUGGCCAGCCACCUAUAAAAGGUCCCAUGUCCGAAAAUGGGCGAGCUUUCUCCUCCAUUUUCGGGCAAAGGUGAGUUCAUGCCCUUCCAUGGUUGGUUUUGAGGUUUUCCUUCAAAUCCUACAAGUUUCUAACAAGUUUUAACUUGGUUUUGAAGAUUUUGAGCAAAGAUCGAAGUUUGGAAGCUUGGACACCUCCGGAACCCAUUUUCCCCAAAUCUCCAAGUUGGGUCACGUUUUCUCUCGAUCUUCAAGAGGUAAGCGUCGAUCCUCGCCUCCUUCGAUUAUUUAAACAAGUUUUAUGAGGGGUUAUGGGGUAGAAAUGCAUGUUAAAGUUAGUGGAUUGUUGUUAGGGUUAAUGUUGAGUUUAUGGAUAAUGUAUGUUGUAUGAGUUGCUAUACGUGUUUGUGUUGGGGUUUAGGUUAGUUUGAGACCCCUAUAUGCUUUUGAAUGUGUUUAUGCAUGUUUAGGAGUGUUGUGUUUGAGUUGGAAAGGUUUGGGAGGCAAAAUGUGCAUAAGGGCUGAGUUCUGCCACUUCUGGAAGAACUCAGGUUCGGCAGCCGAAGGCCCUUUCGGCCUCCGAACCUGCCUGUGGAGGCAAGCUUUUGGCUGCCGAACCCUGCCCCCGAAAGUUGGACUUUCGGCUCUGGAGGGGAGUUUCGGCCGCCGAAGGUGCAUGAGUUUCAUCUCUGGAAGGGACUUUCGGCCGCCGAAGGUGCCGCCGAAAGUGGCUGAGUUUUGGCUCUGGAGGGACUUUCGGCCACCGAACCUGCCACCGAAAGUGCCCUAUUCAGCCUUCCUUUGCAUGAUUUCUAUGAUUGUUUUAAAGUGUUUUAGGGGGUUUUUGGGGAGAUGUUUAGAGUUAAGUUUAUGUAUAUUUGGUCCCUCAUUUGAGUCCACCUGUGUAGGUUCGGACCCGAGGAACCGAUGACCCAAGCAGUGAGAUAGCUGCUUCAGAGUCUUUUCAGAGCUAGUCUGAGGUGAGUAGAAUGACUCUUCAUGUUGCAAAGUAAAUAAAUAAAUUUCGAGCAUGUUCAUGCAUCAUGAAUGCCAUGAGAUAUAUUAGGUUGUUUGCAUUAGAAUUCACGAAUAUGUUGCAUUGCAUAAUAUGAUAUUGAUGUGGAUGAACAUUGGAUUAUCCAUUAGCCCUCGUAUGGAAUGAUAUGAUAUGAUGAUGAUACGGUAUGGAAGUUCAAGAAGACCCAUUCUAUAUCCUUGGCACAAUGUUAGAGAAAGUCUAGGAAGACCCAUUCUACAUCCCUGGCACAUUGGAAUAUUAUGAUAUGUUAUGUAAGGGAAAGACCAGAGACCCAUUCUACGUCCUGGCACUAUUGGAUAUGUAGAGGGCUAUUGGUGACAAGUUUAUCCUUAAGGUGAUUUGUUUGUGAUGUGAUGCAUUUCAUGAAAGCAUGAAUUUUAAUAUAAUAUUUUACUAUUCUGCUCACUGGACUCUAGUAGCUCACUCCACUCCCUUAACCCUCAGGUUUGCAGGUUCGGGAUAGACCAGGAGGUCAGCAAGAGUAAAGAAGUCCAGUAUGUAAUAGUUAGAUGUGGAUAUAUAUUGUAAAAUGUUAUAAUGUGAUGUAAUAUAAAGAAUUGUAUUGAGGAUAGAAUUGUGCUUGGCCCUAGUGUAUGUGAAUCCCUUCUGGUACAUGAUCUUUUUAAUGAAAUGUUUUAAUGAUGUUUGAUGAAAACCAAGCUUGAUUAUAGUAAUGAUGACCCAACUAGAGCAUUUGAUGAGGGCUCUAGUCUGGGGUUUGUAUGUUUAAUGUAUAGUACAUGCACAGGUUGAGCUUGGUGAAUGAAAAAGUUUAAAGUUUUAUGUAUUUGUAUGAUCAUGUAUGAGAUUUAUCAGGUGUAACAGAUUGUAUGUUAGGCUUGCUACGGGUUCCGGUGACCUUAAGUCAAUCUGGAUCCUAGCGCCGGUAGCAGUCCAAUUUUGGAUCGUUACAGAAUUAUUUUUCAUUAUAUUUCAUCAUUAGUGUACCAUUAAUUAAUAAAUUAAUUUUAAUAGUUGAUGGAGUAUGAAACUAAAAAAUAGUUUGAAUAGUUAACCAUUAGUUAGCCAAUAAAAAAUAUAUAUAGAUUGGUUGAAUUUGAUUACAAAACCAACUAAUUUAUGUGUUACAAUGGAUGAAGAUAGUUUGGUUCCAAAUUCAAACCAAAUCAACUAUUGAACACCCCUACUAAAGACCCCAUAAGAUAACCAUCCCAUAAAGAUGAACCCUCUUCCAAAAAAACUCUCAAAAAUAUGCUAGUCUUUCAUCCCAUAAAGAUGAACCCUCUUUCAAAAAACUCUCAAAAAUAUGCUAGUCUUUCAUCUGCUCCCUCAGAAAUCACAUUCUGCAAAAGAAAAACACACUAUCAGAAGAAUAAACAAAAGAAACUAACAAAAAAUUAAGACCCACUCAAAUGUUGGGUAAGAUGAUAUCUAAAUUUCUUAGUGAGAUAGGGUUUUUGGACAGAAAAAGCAGUGUAAACCGACAAAAGAGAGGACUUGAUCUCAAAUGAAGAUUUGGAGAAAGAGAGAAAAAUCUCUCUCUAAAAUAUUAGAGAGAGAGGCCAAUUAAUAAGUUGUGAACUGUAAUGACGAGAAAAGUCUACGUGACAAAGAUCAUAUAAGUAGAAAAUGCAGUUCAUUCAGAAGAAAGAUCCGGACACCAUGAUACUCGGUGCGUUGUCAAGACUCGCCCUUUACAUAUAAUCGUGGGAUUGUCAACUUAUUAACUGACAAUAUUUCUUAUCAAGCAGUCGAGCACAUCAUUAUCGGAUUAUCAAAAAUUUUAUAUUCAUCACCACAUCCCUGCUAUAAAAUAUUACAUAAGCAAAAGUAUAUUAUUUUCUAACACUAAAUUUCUAAGCAAUUUAUUACAUUGUCCAUUUGAAAUAAUGAUUUGAGUGUUGUAUUGAAUGUCGUGGGCACCCAACACCACCUCACAUUUUCUUCCUUACAAAUCAUAACUAAUCACAGCACAAUUUGAAUUCAGCCAUGUCGUCCAUCUAAUCUCAGCAACAUCAAUUAUUUUAAUAAAAAAUAUAUUAACCCUUAAUAUAUAUAUAAUUUAAUUUCUACAUUAUAAAAAAAAUUAAAAAAAUUACGUUUUAAUCCCUGAAAUAUAUCAUAAUUAACGAAACACUUUCAUUUUUGAGAUUUAAUUCCGUCAAAAUUCAAAAUUUCUCCGUAAAAAAUUUAUGUUAAGUAAAUGAUUUUCACUUAGUCAAAGGAAAGAGAAUAAAAAUAAUUCUAAAAAUACCCUUAUCAAUAAUAAAAUAAAAAGUUACUAUUUAGUCCCUAUAGUAUGAAAAAACUCACUACUUAGUCUCUCAAUUUUAAAAAAUAUAUUAAAAUAUCUCUGAUAUUUUAAAAAAGCUACUAGUAAGUUCUUUUAUUAAUUUUAUCACUAAAUAUUUUACUAUUUAGUCUUUAUAGUUUAGCAAAAAUUAUUAGCUAGUCCCUCAAAUUUUUAAAAAAUUUACUAAUUUGUCCCUCCAUAUCAGAAAUAUUUUAGAUUUUUUUUAUAAUAUUUAAUGAUUAAAAUUAACGAAAAGACUAAUUAGUAGACUUUUUAAAAUAUCAAACAUUUUAAUGAAUUUUUCAUGACAAGUAGUGAUUGAUAGCGAACAGCAUCACGAAAAUAAUUUUUAUUGAAUUUUAACUUUUUAUUUUUAAUAAUUUAAAUUUUAUAUAUUUUAAUUUUUAUUAUCUUUACUAAAUUUAAUCUUAAAUUUAUUAAAAUUUUUAUUUGUUUAUGGAGAUUGUGUUUGAGAUUUUUUUUCUUCAAUUUUGACAAAAUUAAACUUCAAAAACUAAAGUGUUGAAUUCAAAAAAUAGAAGAACAAAUCUAUUAAUUAUGUCAUAUCUUAAGAAUAAAAAUGUAUUUUUUCCUUUAAUUUUUUGAGAGAAAAAUUUAUAAGUUUAUAAGAAUUAAAUUUAAAAAACUAAAGUGUUAAAUUCUAAAACGAUAUUUCGAUCAUUUUUUAUGUUAAUUAAAAAAAAUUAAUUAAUAAAUUUUUUAGGAAAAAUUAAUUUUUAAUCUAUGAGAUAUAGCGUAAUUAAUGAAUGCAUCCCUUUAUUUUUAAAAUUCAACACUUUAAUUCCUAAAAUUUAAUUUUGACCUAAAAUCUAAUUCUAUUAAAAUUAAAGGUCUUUACAUAAAAAAAAUACAUUAAAAUUUUAUAAAAUUUUAAAAAUAAAUAUACUAAUUAAUCAUUCUAUUAGUUAUAUUUAUUAUAUAUUUAUUAUUUUUAAUCAUUCCGUUUUAAAAAUAUACUAAAUGUCAUUUAAGAUGCUAUAAAAUAUCGCUACUUGGUCCCGCGUCUCUCUAAAAUACGGCAAAAUGCCCAUUUAGGACAAAUAUUUUUUCAAACCUAAUUAAGCAAAAUGCCCAGAUCCUGCCCUCUUUCAUUUGCCGAUCUCAAUUUCAUUGCUUUAAUUUGCUAACAUUUUCACCUAAAAGUUAGUAUCAAGUCUAGGAAUCUUGCUUCCUUUCUCUUUUCUCUCCUCCUUUUUCUUCCCCUCUUCCUUUGCCUCUUUCCUUCACUGUUUUUUGCCCUCUGUUUGUCCCCCUUCCUUCUCUGUUUCUUCCUUUGGCAAUCUCACUGUCUCAGUCUCCCUUUGAAUUCAAAUUUUAGUUAAAAGUAAUUAUAAAAAAAAUUAUAGUCAAAAUACAUGCACUUUUUAUUAAUUUUUUAAUAAAAUAAAUUUUGAAUUAUUGAAAAAAUCUUCAUCAUUAAAAUUUAUUUCCAUAAAGUCUGAAAGCAUUAUGACAAUAAAACUGUAUACGAAGAAGGUGAUAAGUUGAAUUUGCUUACAUUUGUGUUCCACUAAUUAACAAGCAAAAAGAUUUAGUUUUUCUGGUGAAUUCGCUCCAUGAUUGCUUGGAACAUUGGGCUGUAUUAGAACCUCACACACUUAGCCCAGAAAUUCUCAACGCACUAAAAAAGAUAGAAAACGAAAAGAUCAAAUCUUUAUUAACAAAGAAAAUUCAGUACACUCAAAUUACAACUCCAUGCAAAAGAACCACAUAACACCAAUUAUAUUACAGAUUACACUCAUCUAUAUUACUUGUUUAUUAGAAGAUAUUGUAAUUCUAAUACCUUUUUUCAGACCAAACUGCAACACCCCAUAGAUGGAAUUUGCCAUUGUUUUCAGUCAACCAGAGAUCUCAAUGGCAUUGACAUCUGGUUUCUUGACCUCCUCUUUAGGAACAGUCACUGUCAAGACUCCGUUCUCCAUGCUUGCCUUAACCUCGUCAACUUUUGCAUUCUCUGGCAGCCUGAAUCUUCUUAAGAAUUUGCCACUUGAUCUCUCAACUCUAUGCCACUUAUCGUUCUUCUCUUCCUUCUCUUUGCUUCUCUCUCCACUUAUCUGCAACACCCUGCCCUCUUCUACCUCCACUUUCACUUCCUCUUUCUUUAUUCCUGGAAGAUCAGCCUUGAAAACGUGAGCCUCCGGAGUUUCCUUCUAGUCUAUGCGCGUCUUGGCAAAUGCUGAAGUUACAUUUGCGGACUCAGAGCGAGGAGCUGAGACUGAGAGAGAUGUGCUUGGGAAUGGGAAGUCAUAGAAGGGAUCCCAGAAGUCGAGAGAGAAAGGAUCGAAGACGUUGGUUCUCCGGCUACCGAAGAAGCUGCUUGGAAUGAGAGAC